AGCAGACCAAGGUUGAGUGUGUGCUGUUCGGGAGCAGACCAAGGUUGAGUGUGUGCUGUUCGGGAGCAGACCAAGGUUGAGUGUGUGCUGUUCGGGAGCAGACCAAGGUUGAGUGUGUGCUGUUCGGGAGCAGACCAAGGUGAGUGUGUGCUGUUCGGGAGCAGACCAAGGUUGAGUGUGUGCUGUUCAGGAGCAGACCAAGGUGAGUGUGUG